AUUUGGGUUGUAACUUGGCCAGGGUAAGGGUGAGAUAGAUCAUAAGGGAUACUAGGCUAAAAUUCAAAAGGUCAAAAGAAAAUUGAAAGAAACUGCGAGAGUUGAACUAUAAAAUACUUCAUUCAUUUUCAACAAACAACCUUGCAGUAAUUUCUCUUCUCUCUUCUCAUUUUGUUCUCUUUUUUUCUAGAAGGAAUAUGUAUUGUCAUCCUUCUUUUUUUCUAUUUUUUAUUUAUUUUUCUUUCUUUUCUUUUCUUUUCUUUUCUUUCUAUAUAUAUAUUUUUUUGUUUUCUGCCAACUUUUGAA
rnacentral:lncRNA from 1 species